rnacentral:tRNA from 1 species
UGGCUCAAUUGGUAAAGCAUGAGACUCUUGAUUUUGGGGUUGUGAGUUCAAACCUCAC